GUGGAUAUUAUAGCUGGACUUGUACCAGUAAAUGUGAUUGUAACAUUUCGUAUCAGCAAGGAAAGUACCGAGAACUUUACGUACGAAGGAAAGAGAUACACAGACAAAUCUGAGAUGGUGAUUUCAUUGAAGCGACUUGAAGCUUUUCAAAUAGCUCUUUGCAUAGUUGAGCAAUCUGAAAUCCUAAAUUUACUAGGCACGAAGGUGAGUGCGAUUUGGCCAAUAGGAGUCGUGUCCGGUAGCUGUAAGUCGAGCCACCAGAGCCAGAGUCCGCACUGUAAUAGCUCAUCAAAU
rnacentral:sRNA from 1 species